rnacentral:tRNA from 1 species
AACUCAGAGCCUGAAAAAUAAGGAAUAUCUUGAUGUGAUAUAAUUUGCAAUAUAUUGCCUGCGUUA